CGCACGCACGCACACGUUAUAAGAGCGAUCGCCGCUCGCCGUUCGAAUGCUUGUCACAGUCAGUCACGUGAGAUCUUUCGGCCGCUCGUCUCACUCGUCGUGAACACCUCAACUCGUCUCGAUCGUCGCCGGAAAGGCCGUUUCGUCCUCCAGCACAGCAAAAUAUAGACAAAACCAUGUCGGCCGCCAUUGCCACCGUCCACUGGCUGAUGACGAUUGUCGUCGUAUUGCUCAUCGGCGCCGUCCAAGCCACCAAUCAUCCUUCGCGUGCUGAUAGGCAAUCGAUCGCCAACCCAAACAAAGUGUCGAACGAGAGAGAUUCCAGGUGCCACCACCCAACGACACACAAUUGCAAUACUUCUGUGUAUCCGAUUUUGGACUGGAAAUUGUCCGGCUGGUUUUACCAUUCGAUGUUCAAAUCGUGCCGACCUCUGUACUCGUUGAAGGGCGAGAACGUUUGCGUUGAAAACCAAGACCUGCCAAAGACCAGAGAAAUGUGCGAAGACUUAUGCGGUGAAUCGUGCGUCAUGAGCAACGGGUCGAUGGGCAUUUGCAUGUUCAAUCAAAUGUGCAAGAUCAUAAACAACAAGCCCUCCGCCCACCCAAGACCAUGUGGCAGUUACAAUGUAAAUUGUUGUCCCAAGGUAUCAGACAGCAACUUGGUACCGUACAGAGAUCCUUCGGGAAACAUCAACGGGAAUGGCGAAUUUGAAAACCGCAUAAGCGCCGCUGACCAAUCGUCCUCCCGAACCGAUACAAUUUACAUCUAUCGUUUUCCAAAUACUCCAGUUAUGGAAGGAAAACUCAAUAAGUAGUACUUGUACUAGCAACAGUAACGUAACAUUGUUAUGGUGUUUAACAAAUAGUUACUGAGGUUUUUUUUUCUCUACUUAAUAUCAUUACUUUUAUUAUAACACUAUUAUUGUUUUAAUUAUAACUAUUAUUAUUAUUAUUAUUAUUAUUUUUUUAUCAUCAUCAUGUUAUAAUAUUAUACUAUGAUUACGCGUAACAUCGCCUAAUAGGUUUCAACCCGUACAAUACGUCACUAUAGAACCGUACAGAUCAACAGUUUUACACGCCUUUUAAACUCUAUAUUUAUUAUUAUAUCCUGUAUUGAACGUAUUGUACGAAAAUGAAUUGUUUAAAGGCCAACGCUUGCGUUCCAUCGUACAAUAUUAAACGAUGGUGAAACACACAUUGCAAGUGGCGUUAGGUACCGUGUUUAUUUAUUACGUUUAACGCAGUUGGUUUAAGCGUUUAUAUAUUAUUAUUUAUUUUUUUGUUCAUGAUUAAGUUACUAUGUAGUAUGUAC